rnacentral:rRNA from 1 species
GAUGAACGCUAGCGGCAGGCCUAACACAUGCAAGUCGAGGGGUAGAGGAAGCUUGCUUCCUUGAGACCGGCGCACGGGUGCGUAACGCGUAUGCAAUCUACCUUAUACAGAGGGAUAGCCCAGAGAAAUUUGGAUUAAUACCUCAUAGUAUUAUGAAAUCGCAUGGUUUUAUAAUUAAAGUUCCAACGGUAUAAGAUGAGCAUGCGUCCCAUUAGUUAGUUGGUAAGGUAACGGCUUACCAAGACAAUGAUGGGUAGGGGUCCUGGGAGGGGGAUCCCCCACACUGGUACUGAGACAAGGACCAGACGCCGACGGGAGGCAGCAGUGAGAGAUAUUGGUCAAUGGACGCAAGUCUGAACCAGCCAUGCGGCGUGCAGGAUGACGGGCCUAUGGGUUGUAAACUGCUUUUAGACAGGAAGAAACACUCCCUCGUGAGGGAACUUGACGGUACUGUAGGAAUAAGGAUCGGCUAACUCCGUGCCAGCCGCCGCCGUAACAC